CUACGGGUUGCACCAGUGGGGGAUAUUGCACAAUGGGCGAAAGCCUGAUGCAGCAACGCCGCGUGAAGGAAGACGGUUUUCGGAUUGUAAACUUCUAUCAGCAGGGAAGAAAAUGACUGUACCUGACUAAGAAGCCCCGGCUAACUACGUGCCAGCAGCCGCGGUAAUACGUAGGGGGCAAGCGUUAUCCGGAUUUACUGGGUGUAAAGGGUACGUAGGCGGUUGAUUAAGUCAGAUGUGAAAGCCCGGGGCUCAACCCCGGGACUGCAUUUGAAACUGGUGAACUAGAGUACAGGAGAGGUAAGUGGAAUUCCUAGUGUAGCGGUGAAAUGCGUAGAUAUUAGGAAGAACACCAGUGGCGAAGGCGGCUUACUGGACUGUAACUGACGCUGAGGUACGAAAGCGUGGGGAGCGAACAGGAUUAGAUACCCGGGUAGUC
rnacentral:rRNA from 1 species